rnacentral:lncRNA from 10 species
UUUGAUAAGGGGAGUCUUUCUUCCCUAAUCUGCUUUUUGGAUUUGCUCAUUUGUCUAGCCACAUAUAUAGUACGUGUACGUGGUGGCAAAGUGCUUGGGCACUGCAAUCAGUCUCCUGGGUUUGCACCCCAGCUCCGCCACUUGACAUGUAGGCUGGGGGAAGCCACAUCACUUUUAUGUGCUUUGGUUUUCUCACCUGGAAAAUGAGGAUAAUCAUAUGCUCUCUUGUUAGUGUUAUCAUGGGGUGAAGAUGAGGCAAUGCCAAGUAUAGUGCCGCGUACAGAGCCUGGAGCAAGGUAAGCACCCAAGAAUGCGAACUGCUACUAUUGUGGUCAUGAUUUUCUAGCUUGUAGCAGAACUACUACUUAUUUAGAUCAUGGCAUCUAAAAAUACAUUUCCUCAAAUAUCAAAAGAGCCAGGACCAGAAUCUUGGCCUCUGGCCUCAAAGAUAAUGCCUUUUCCCGGCAUUUCCCCUGGACAGGCUGGGAAACAUCGCACCACAAAAUCUACACUCUUUCAAUCCUAUCAGCUGGUGUGUUCAUCUCAUUCUGAGAAUCAGGCUGAAGGAACAACCUCUAUCUGGAACAUGCUUUACAUAUCAGAAGGAGAAGAAAGAAAGCAGGGAAAGAAAACAGGCAUCAUGAUGGCAACUAAAGGGUGAUGAGCUUGUUUCCCACUUCACUGGAAAACAAAAUGGGAAUAUUCAGAAGAUAAGUUCCACAGCUCCCAUAGCAUCUUCCUAUCUACCAGGAUUUGGACCUUCUACACCCUGCUCCCAUUAAGGAAUUAGCCUUGCUCUUGUCCAAAACUAGCCUUUGCGUAUGCCUUAGAUCCUAUCCCCCUUGCUUGCUCACAGGCUUUGCUCCAGCAAUUCUCCCUAUUUUUCCCCUAUACCAUCAGCUUCCUCUCUCUACUAGGUCAUUUCCACCAGCACACAACAAUACUGUCUCUCUCAUCUUAGAAAUGGAAACUAACAAAAUUGAGUUCACUUUUCCUUCUGACACUAUCCCUUUUCUACCUCCCCCACUUUACAGCAAAACUCUUUGAAAGCUGCCUGAAUUUCACUGCUUCCAUUUCCUCUCCUCUUCUCACUUAAACCUACUGCUGCCAGAACCGGGACUCCACCACCUCACCAGACCCCUGCUUGUCAAUAUCAUCAAUGACUUCCAUCUUGCUAAAUCCAUUUCUUGUCCCCAUUGAACUUGACCCUCAGUAACACCUUGUCAAAUUAACCACUCCCUUCUCAUGGAAAUGAUUUCUUGUUUUCUAAGACACUACACAUUUCGUUUUCCUUCAACACCCCUGGAUGCUGCUUCCCAGUCUUGUCCCUUAACCUCCUAGCACUGAAGUGAUGCAGGGCUCAGUCCACAGAUCUCUUCAUCUUUCCUGUUCACUCCAUACUCACCCUCUUGGUAAUUCCCUUCCAGUUUCAUCGUUUAAAUGGCAUCUGUCUGCAAAUGAUUAUCAAAUGUAUGCCUCCAGCCAUGGCCACUGCUCUCAACGUUAGCUUAUCCAUCUAACUGUCAACUCUGUAUCUCUACCUGGACGCCUGAUGGAGGUCUCCAAUGUACCAUGCCCUAAACUGAAAUUUUGAUCUUCUUUAUCCACAGAAUCUGCUCGACCCUAUCUCAGUUAAAGGCAUAUGUUACUAAAGCCAAAGUCAGCAAAGAAGGAGCCUCCAUGCUUGGAAACAACCCAGCUAACUGCCAUCUGUGUGGUAGCUUGAGUGUGGAUUGAAGAACGGAGAGUCAGGAUUCUAGGGGAGAGUGGAACCAAUGGCUGGGCUGGAACCUGCAUGCCAGCACCUCCCCCACAUGCUGUUGGUCAAGCCAGAUUCAAGAGAUGGGGAAACAGACUCCGCCUCUGGAUGCCGCAAAGUCCCACGGCAAAGGGCAGGAAUAUAGAGGGGGGAUGAUCAUUCAUACCAUGACAAAAUGGCAGAAAAUGUGCAACUCCAAGACCAAGAAAACGUGAAGAGGCUGUGACUACCUCCAUGUGAGAAACAUCUGAGUUCCUCCUGAUCCUAAGACCUCCCCACAAUGUAUGUAUGAUAGCAAUUUCCUCUGACAGAGCAGUGAAUUUGAUGAUAGUGCAUCGAUUGCUGUAAAUUGUCUGCUGGGUUACCUGUUCCUACCACCUUAGAGCACUCACAGCUCAGUGACUGUGGAAGUCAGCUUCCAAGAUGUUCCCCUAUGAUCCUCCCCUCCUUGUAUUCACAUCUGUAAAGAUUCCUCCCACAAUGAAUCACAGUUUCGUUUUGUGACCAACAGAAUACAGCAGAAGUAAGGAAAUGUGACUUCCAAGGCUAAUGAAUAAAAGGCUUUGCAGUUUUCUCCUUGGUCAGUUGGAAGCCACCUGCCAUGGACACUCAAGCAGUUCUGUGGAGAGGCUCAUGAGGGAAAGAACUGAGGCCCCUCCACCAACAUCCAGCACCAACUUGUCAGCUGUGUCUGUGAGCCAUCUAGGAAUGAGACCCUCCUGAAGCCCUGGUGAAGCCUUCAGAUGACCGUAGCCCCAGCCAACAUUUGGCUGCAGUCUCAUGGCAGGCUCCAAGCCAAACCCUACCAGUGAAUUUGCUACCAAAUUCCUGACUCAUGGAAACUGUGUGUGUAAUAAAUGUUUAUUGUAUGAUAAAGCCACUAAAUUUAGGAGUAAUUUCUUACACAGCAAUAGAUAACUAGUAGAGUCACUUUGCAUCUCUUAGGGUCUAUGGCAAAUGACACAUAAUGAAUAGAGAAAUUGGAACAGACAACUGGUUGUCUGUUUCAGUACAGAAACUGGUUGGUAUUAAGAGUGACAAUUUUUAUUAUAGUUCAAGCUAUAGUACUGUAUGUUCUUGAAUAAACUAUGCUAAUCUAGGCCAUCCAAAGACUUCCCAAAAUGUAUGGUGAGAAUAACAUUUCCAAGAUACUAAACCAAUGUUUGUAGCUCCUGAUAAUUCCUAAUUCCUGGUUGCCCCAAGCCACCACCUGCCCCAACUAAAACAAAAGAAUUGAUCACAUCAUAAUAAAAUUAGAACCUUCAAAGAACAGGCACUGAUCUCUUGGAAUUUUUAUUUUAAACUUAAGUUUACAUGACAAUCUGCUUCCACUUACAUGAUAAUCUGAAAGCAUAUGUUGAAAUGGCAUGGUUCUUGGUUGCAGAAAACAGAAAUGAAAUCUACCUAAGCAGAAAUUAAAAUUAUAGGAGGGAUAUUGGGAGCUCAUAACAUCCAGAGGCUGACUAAACAAACAGACUUCAACGUCAAAAGCAGCCCCCACCCUGGAGGCUAGGGAUCUAUGAGAGCAAAUUGAACAUCUGAUCUCUCAGCUCUCACCAAACUCACACCAUGGCAGAACCUUCACGAAGGGAGGAAGAGACUCAGAUGCUGAACACAAGGAGAG